AACCUAGCACACCUGCGGUGUGUACCUGCGGAGGGAUCAUUAUCGAGUUGCAAAACUCCCUAAACCAUUGUGAACCUACCUGUACCGUUCCUUCGGCGGGCGGCGUCAAGCCCUAACCCGGUCCCCUUUACGGGGGAUGGACCCGCCGGAGGCUCCUAAACUCUUAAUUUUAGUUGGCAUCUCUGAGUAAAUCAAAAUAAGUCAAAACUUUCAGCAAUGGAUCUCAGAUCGGAAGAGCAC
rnacentral:misc_RNA from 1 species